GUGGUGCUUGUGGUGCCCGACGCUGACGUCGUGCUCGUGGUGCCCGACGCCUGCUGCUUCAGUCAUUCAUUCAGAGGAGUAUCAUCUGCGUGUCCGAUGUGGAAUUGCAUGUUUUGGAGUCUUGUUUGGAAUUAAGAGUACUGGAGCUCACCAACUACAUCUUGCCCGGGAUCGAUGCCCUCUUCCUCUUCCAUGUUCAUAUCAUCUUGGAGUACUGCCUAUUCUGAAGUUGGUGCAAUGGAGCCUGGAGCUGCACCUUCUGGACCUGGAGCCUGUUCAGGUACUGCCACAGUAUAAGUUUAUGCAACAUCAAGCUCUGUAGUA